GACGAACGCUGGCGGCGUGCUUAACACAUGCAAGUCGAACGCUGAACCCGCUUCGGUGGGGGAUGAGUGGCGAACGGGUGCGUAACACGUGGGCAACCUGCCCCCGGCUCUGGGAUAACUCCAAGAAAUUGGGGCUAAUACCGGAUGUGACCGCUGGCCGCAUGGUCUGGUGGUGGAAAGGGUUUCCGGCUGGGGAUGGGCCCGCGGCCUAUCAGCUUGUUGGUGGGGUAGUGGCCUACCAAGGCGACGACGGGUAGCCGGCCUGAGAGGGUGACCGGCCACACGGGGACUGAGACACGGCCCAGACGCCUACGGGAGGCAGCAGUGGGGAAUAUUGCGCAAUGGGCGGAAGCCUGACGCAGCGACGCCGCGUGGGGGAUGACGGCCUUCGGGUUGUAAACCUCUUUCAGCAGGGACGAAGCGCAAGUGACGGUACCUGCAGAAGAAGCACCGGCCAACUACGUG
rnacentral:rRNA from 1 species